GGGCUGCAAUCAAAAAUUAAGAAAAAUAUAUAAGGUAUUCUUCUCGAAUAAAUAAUUAGAAUUAUCUUAUAGGUAUGAGUUUUAGGUGCGGUUACAACUUAUUGUACCAAAGUCAUGAAAGCGUAUGGAAUGCAAUGACUGUGUUGGAGUCCCACAUCGAUGGGUUAAAAUGUCCUAGGUCUCCUUAUAUGCUCUUGGAAAAUCCUCCCCUCAUGAGCACUUUUGAGGUUGAGUUUGGUCCAAGGUCCAUUUCUUUAUCAUGGUAUCAGAGUCAGGCCCACCCAGUUCAUUGUUUCCAAUGUUGGCCCCCCGCAUUAUAUUGUCCACGCUCCAGAUGUCCAGUCCUGGGCGUGCGGGGGUGUUGGAGUCCCACAUCGGUGGGCCCAAGGAUACUUGGUCUCCUUAUAUGGUCUUAGGCAAUCCUCCCCUCAUGAGCUAGCUGUUGAGGUUGAGUUAGGGGGUGUUGGAGUCCCACAUCGGUGUCUUAUAUUGUCCACGCUCCAGAUGUUCAGUCCUGGGCGUGCGGGGGUAUUGGAGUCCUACAUCGGUGGGUCCAAGGAUCCUUGGUCUCCUUAUAUGGUCUUAAGCAAUCCUCCCCUCAUGAGCUAGCUGUUGAGGUUGAGUUAGGGGGUGUUGGAGUCCCACAUCGGUGUCUUAUAUUGUCCACGCUCCAGAUGUUCAGUCCUGGGCGUGCGGGGGUGUUAGAGUCCCACAUUGGUGGGUCUAAGGAUCCUUGAUCUCCUUAUAUGGUCUUGGGCAAUUCUCUCCUCAUGAGCUAGCUUUUGAGGUUGAGUUAGGCUCAAGGUCCAUUUCUUUAUCAGCAUGGCCCAUUGUAUGCUAUGUGGAUUUGAUGUGCCAUUCCUCACCACACCUCGAAAAAAUUUAAGAACAAUGACAAGCAAUGAGAAUUACCCCGAAAUUAGGACAGCCAGUCCAAUGGCCACACCGACAACAAAUCCAGACAAUGGUCCUGUCUAUAUAAAAUAAAAUAUAUAAUUAAUACAUAUAAGUUACAAAACAAAAUCUAAAAAUAUAUAUAAGAGGGGAUCGAUUAAUGUUGCUAUUAGUGUUAUAUCUUACAGAUUGAGGAUCAUUUGUCAAUGAUGCACUUAGGAAGAGAACAAUGAAGGUUGCUAAAAGCUCCACUAAAAAUGCUGAAGUGCAACCAUGUAGAGGUCUUGUUGUUACAAAUUCUGCUUUUAAUCCAUA
rnacentral:lncRNA from 1 species